GCAUAUCAAUAAGCGGAGGAAAAGAAACCAACCGGGAUUGCUCAGUAACGGCGAGUGAAGCGGCAAGAGCUCAAAUUUGAAAUCUGGCCCCUCUGGGGUCCGAGUUGUAAUUUGCAGAGGAUGCUUCGGGUGCGGUCCCCGUCUAAGUGCCCUGGAACGGGCCGUCAUAGAGGGUGAGAAUCCCGUCUGGGAUGGGCGGCCGCGCCCGUGUGAAGCUCCUUCGACGAGUCGAGUUGUUUGGGAAUGCAGCUCUAAGCGGGUGGUAAAUUUCAUCUAAAGCUAAAUACUGGCCGGAGACCGAUAGCGCACAAGUAGAGUGAUCGAAAGAUGAAAAGCACUUUGAAAAGAGAGUUAAAUAGCACGUGAAAUUGUUGAAAGGGAAGCGUUGUCCACCAGACUCGCCCGGGGGGGCUCAGCCGGCACGUGUGCCGGUGUACUCCUCUCCGGGCGGGCCAGCAUCGGUUUGGGCGGCUGGUGAAAGGCCCCGGGAAUGUACCACCCUCCGGGGUGUCUUAUAGCCCGGGGUGCCAUGCAGCCAGCCUGGACCGAGGCCCGCGCUUCGGCGAGGAUGCUGGCGUAAUGGUGGUCAACGGCCCGUCUUGAAACACGGACCAAGGAGUCUAACAUCUAUGCGAGUGUUCGGGUGUCAAACCCGUCCGCGCAGUGAAAGCGAACGGAGGUGGGAGCCUUUCGGGGCGCACCAUCGACCGAUCCUGAAGUCUUCGGAUGGAUUUGAGUAAGAGCAUAGCUGUUGGGACCCGAAAGAUGGUGAACUAUGCCUGAAUAGGGCGAAGCCAGAGGAAACUCUGGUGGAGGCUCGCAGCGGUUCUGACGUGCAAAUCGAUCGUCAAAUUUGGGUAUAGGGGCGAAAGACUAAUCGAACCAUCUGGUAGCUGGUCUGC
rnacentral:rRNA from 1 species